GCCUAACACAUGCAAGUCGAACGGAACUUCUUUAAUUGAUAUUUUCGGAAUGAUUUUGAUUAAGUUUAGUGGCGGACGGGUGAGUAACGCGUGAGUAACCUGCCUCUGAGAGGGGAAUAACAUUCUGAAAAGAAUGCUAAUACCGCAUAACAUAUAUUUAUCGCAUGGUAGAAAUAUCAAAGGUUUAUCGCUCAGAGAUGGACUCGCGUCCGAUUAGUUAGUUGGUGAGGUAACGGCUCACCAAGACCACGAUCGGUAGCCGGACUGAGAGGUUGAACGGCCACAUUGGGACUGAGACACGGCCCAGACUCCUACGGGAGGCAGCAGUGGGGGAUAUUGCGCAAUGGGGGAAACCCUGACGCAGCAACGCCGCGUGAAGGAUGAAGGUCUUCGGAUUGUAAACUUCUUUUAUUAAGGACGAAUAAAGUGACGGUACUUAAUGAAUAAGCUCCGGCUAACUACGUGCCAGCAGCCGCCGUAA
rnacentral:rRNA from 1 species